rnacentral:misc_RNA from 1 species
GUGCGGGGAGUGGGGUGGGUGGGUUUUUUUUUUUUUUUUUUUUUUUUUUUUUUUUUUUUUUUUUUUUUUUUUUUUUUUUUUUUUUUUUUUUUUUUUUUUUUUUUUUUUUUUUAUCGUUAGGUUAGGUUUUUUUUUUUUUUUUUUUUUUUUUUUUUUUUUUUUUUUUUUUUUUUUUUUUUUUUUUUUUUUUUUUUUUUUUUUUUUUUUUUUUAUCGUUAGGUUAGGUUUUUUUUUUUUUUUUUUUUUUUUUUUUUUUUUUUUUUUUUUUUUUUUUUUUUUUUUUUUUUUUUUUUUUUUUUUUUUUUUUUUUUUUAUCGUUGCCAUUUUCUUUCGCAACGCUUGUGCCAGUAAUUAUUUAAUUCAACAGUAGUAAUAUGACAAUAUUAUAAUAAUUUUCUAAUAAUAGUAUA